CCCCUACAAGAAGAUAUCUUCGGCCAGCUUUCGGAUAGCGCUUAGAGUGACCGGCAAAGCUCUAAGUUCCUCUGAGUUUAAGUUUUUACCAUCCAAGCUGACGACGAGGUAAACAGACAGCCCUUGUUUUAUUCCCUGCAGUGUUGGCACUGAACUCUGCUGGAAAAAAAGGGAUGUGAAGGACUGUUGUGCUGUAAGUCGUUCAUCUUGGGUUGUCUGUCGGGACUGUACUGUAAAAUAACAUUUGCUUACUAAGGUGGGUGUACAUUAGUUUGUAUUACAUGCUGGAACAAGUCUUUGAAAAAGGAUAUCUCACACCUUCAGCAGUUACUUCAAUCUGUAAAAGGCUCAGCUCACCGCUACCACCCCUGCGCUGACUUGGGAGGGGCGAAGAUGAACACACGCUGUCCUCCGAAGCGUGUGCCGUCAGCCGCCCGCUUCUUUGCAUUCUGCAGACUCACCGUGCAGCCGCCUCAGAGCUACAGCGUCGGAGGACAACGCAACUCUGGGCAGCUUACAGGCAAGCCUGCAGGCGUCCGGCCAGACUACAGGGCGCGGUGAGACGAGGACACCCUGGCCGACCUAUCCGAAGAUGUGGUGAUGCUGGAUGCAGACUCUCAAAUCUCAAUUUCAAAAAACCGACUGAGACUGUGCACCCACGCCGACUACAGGAAGCUGAAGAAUGAUUUAAUGGAUGCCUUCUUUACAAAGGAGCAGCAAGCAUCCCAUUCGAUGAUAGGAUCCUGGGCUGGAGUGAGGAAAAUGCCUAAACCUGCACUACAUCAGGAUAUCCUCAAAGCCAUUACUUGUAUAGCUUUUCAGAUUUGUUUCUAGUACUGUAUGUGUGGAUUCACUACAACCUUCUAGCAGAACUAGCAGCAGGCACAUGCUGGAUUCUAUAAUUCAAUCUGCAGGAGAUCUUGCAGAUGUUAAAUGUCUGCAUAUUAUUAUUAUUAUUAUUAUUAUUAUUAUUAUUAUUAUUAUUAUUAUUAUGUAUUUCUUAGCAGACACCCUUAUCCAGGGCGACUUACAGUCGUAAACAAAAAUACAUUUCAAGAAUCAAAGUACAAGUAAUAAUACAAUUAAGAGCAAGAUAAAUACAAUGACUUUGGUUUUAGCAAGUACAAGUAUGACAAAAUACAAUUCAAUAACGGAGCAGAUAACAGUGUCAGUGAUAGUUACAUCAGGAUAUAAUUAAAUACAAAAUACUACAGAUUAAAUAACACUUGACAGAUUACAGUACUCUAAAGUACAGGAUUAAAUGCAAAAAUCUGAUCACCUGGAUAUAUGGGAAGGGAGGCUGCUCUACUCCAGCCCACUGUUUUAUUUUUUUUACACAAACACAAGGAGUGCAGCAGUACUGGAUGUCUGCUGCUAAAUUGAAAUAUUUAGAAUUUAUCGAUUGUCACCCGAGUGAUCCAGUGUCAUAAGUUUUCCCCCUUUGAACAUUUGUUGGUUGUUAAUACACAAAGUACCAGUUUAAAAAUAUUUAAAAUAGAGAAACUAUAGUAAAACAAUGCUAAAAAGUAAAAAUAGUAAAAUAAGCCGUAGCUAUAGAGUCAAGAUCAUAUAUUAUUAACUCACUAUCCUGUGUAGCCUUCCAUGCAGUGGCUGCUGUAGUUACUCUAUAUUACUAUUUCAUAUUUUUCUUUUUCUUUAUGGGUACAUAUUGUUGGAUUGACUGAUAUGUAACUUACAGUAAUUACUAAUAAAUUCCAAUGUAUAUGUCUAACAACAAAUAUUGCACUCAGCAAAUAUAUCGGGUUGAAAACAAUGGGACUGAGUUUAGAGUUAGGAAUCUGUCAUCCACCUAACAUACCUUAUAUAGCCUAUAUAACUGGGCAGCGAACCUCCUCUUAAGGGGAGUCCCCAGCAGCUCAGGCUUCACCGCGAGGUGGUAAGUCUCAUCUGGGAGAGGUUUAGGAGAGCAGAGAUAGGCCUGUUUGCCUCCCGCGAAUCAACCCACUGUCCCCUCUGGUUCUCCAUAACAGGAGGCGGGGAACUGCUGGGAAUAGAUGCCUUGGCACACCAGUGGCCAAGGUGCUGCUAGCAGCUGCAUUUUGGCCCAGGAGAAUCUGGUUUUCAAACCUGAUGCAGCUCCUGAGCGGUCAGCCGUGGAGGCUGUCGAUACGCCAUGACCUGCUCAGCAAGGCUCGGGGGACCUUAUGGCAUCUCGACCCAUCGAGCCUGCAUCUUUGGGUCUGGCCCCUGAAUGGCUGCAUUUGAGCCAUCUGGGACUUUCCAACAGGGUUAUUGACACCCUACAGAAUGCCAAGGCAGCGUCCACUCAUUCCCAGUAUGGCUACAAGUGAGGUGUCUUCCAGACAUGGUGCCUACCUGUGGGUUUCACCCCACGACUUGUCCCAUGGCAGUUAUACUGCAAUUUAUGCAGGACCUUUUUGAUGAAUGGAAAGGUCUAUCUGGCAGCUAUUUCAGCUUGCCAUGUCAAGAUUGACUGUUCCCCAGAAAUUGCUAUUUUUUAAAGCUGCUUUCUUGCUUGCUAUCACCGCAAAGUGGGUCAGUGAGAUGCAGGCAUUCUCUAUCGCGAAAGCCUACUUAUUUUUUUACAGAGGCCAGGACAAGGUCAAGCUCCACACCAAUCCUGCCUUCUUGCCGAAGACUAUCUCAGCUUUCCAUGUCAACCAGUCUGUAGAAUUGGAGGCAUUCCAUCCAUCUUCUUUCCAGUCUGACAGGGAGAGACAGCUCCAUAUGCUCUGCUCAGUUCGGGCCCUUGCGUAGUAUGUUGACAGGACAAAACGUUGGAGGCAGUCUAAACAAUUUAUUGUCUGCUAUGGGUCAAAGUCCUGUGGUCAAGCCCUGCCUAAGCAGCGGCUGUCCAAGUGGGUAGCAGACAUGGUCAGGACUGCCUAUAAGCUGGUCAACUUGCCCCCUCCAGAAAAGCUCACUGCUAAAUGCACCAGGGGCAUUGCAACUUCAUGGGCUUUAUUCCACGGUGCAUCUGUCAAGACAUUUGCAAUGCAGCGGUGUGGGCUACUCCCCAUAUCUUCACUAAGUUCUAUAGGCUAAAUGUUGUGGAUCCUCAAAACCCUGGCUUUGGAACAAGAGUGUUAAGGGUGGCAUCCCAGUCGACCCUUAAAACACAGGCAUAGAGGUGAAAUUCUCCCUCAAUUUUAUCACCCUACCUACUUGUUACUGGGGUUCCGAAUGGUAAAGCACACGGUAGGCUCUCGGCUUAGCCUUGUAGCAUUCCAGUUGUUCUGCAAUCAUGUCCUUGCGAAUGCUUGAGUAUACUCACCCAUUCGUUAAUGGUUACAUUUUGUACUUGAAAGGGAACGUUAGGUUAUUAUCAUAACCCUGAUUCCCUGAAAUAGAAAUGUAACCAUUAACCUUCAAGGUCGCUUUGUCCAUGAUUGCAGCAGGCUUUAAGGAAACAUGACAAUGAGAUCUGUGAGCGCAGUAUUUUUGAUCCCUUGGGGGCAGGGUCACGACUGAGUCAAAGGUUCAAAGAGCAGCUUUGGUGUAAAGUAUUCCGGAUUCUGGUCUUUAGGAGGUAAAUAUCAAUUCAGUAAUGGUUACAUAUCUAUUUCAAGGAACCAGGGUUAUAAUAAUACUGUAUACUAUAAUAACGUUUCUGAAAAUGUUCCCUUCUUGUUGUUCCCGUGCUGUGCAGAGCAAUUUUAAUAAUAAUAAUCAUCAUUAAGCACCACCAUCAAAUAACAGCAUAUAUCACCAGCUCUCCAAAUUGGCAACAAAAAAGGCAAGGCCAAUGUUGGAGAAACAUGCACUUUAAGAAAUGAUAGUUUGAAAGAUUAACUGUUUAGUUUUAGAUUGUUAGUAUUUGGUUUUCAUUUAGUUAGUUAGUUAAAAGACAAUUUGGGUUUAAUAUUAAUUACUGGAGCAGGAAGACAGACCGUAAGGGGACAGGUUUAAAGUGCACCAAAUGGCAAUUUAAAAGGGAACCCUGAGCUUUGUCAGAGAACUCUCUGGGGGGCUAAAACCUUCAAAAGCUUAAACAAUCUCCUUCCUUUAAACUGUAUUGUUCCUGAGUGGAACAUCAAACAGGCUUUGAUGUUACAAUCACUUAAGGUAAUCAAAUGAAACUGGACUCACGUGGUCAAUGAUAUUCUGAUAGGUUAAGGAUUAAGGGGUGAUGUCAUAAGGUUAAGUCAAUAUUAACCCCAACAUUGUAUUGUCUUGUUGAUUCUGUUUUGACCUGUGCUUAGGGAAA